UAGCUCACGUCAAUAAUCUGCCCACCUACGCACCUCUAUCCCGCAUCUGAAAAACUCAAAGGCAUUGGUGGGGGGCCCUCUCAAGCAGCGGAGCCUGUGGUUUAAGCACGCAACACAAAGAACCUUCUCUUGGCCGGUGAGAGUGACCUGCACCGCCGCAAAAAGACGACCGCCUUCAACGGUCCGCCACGCGGUGCUGCAAUGGCUGCCGUCAUGCUCCGUGUCGUCAAAUGUGGGGUUCAGUCCCGCAACGAGCGCAACCCGCGGCGGGAGUAACUCGUGUCUACCGAGACCUCGCGCCGUGACCGGCGGAGGAAGGCGCGGAUAUCGUAAAGUCAGCAUGGCCCUUACGCCCAGGGGCGACACACACGCUACAAUGGCCACGACAAUGCGUGACCAAGCCCAAGGCGGAGCUAACCGCCAAAACGUGGUCUCAGUGCAGAUACGGGGGCCUCCCCAACUACGCCCCACGCUGAAGGCGGAGUUGCUAGUAUCCCCGUAAGGGCG
rnacentral:rRNA from 1 species